GGGAGUAAAGCUGCUGAUCAGGUGUAAUUAAGUAAGGAGAUUAGCUUGACUCAUCCAGGUGGACCCAAUGUAAUUACAAGGAUACUUAAAUGUAGAAGAUGGAGGCAGAAGGGUUAGUAUCAAAGUGAGGUGCUUCCUGAGAGAUUUGAGUUGCCGUUUCUGGCUUUCAGGUUGGGGCAAGAAGCCACAAGACAAAAACAAUGGGUAGCAAGGAAGCAGAUUCUCCUCAGAACCUCCAAAAGAAGUGCCUUAAUACUUCUGACUUCAGAAAGCAAGAAGAUACAGAUUUCUGAUUUUCCCCCCAUGGUUGAAAUGUCAGUGGGAAGAUUUCCCUGAAUGUACGGCUUGGUUGGUGAGUAAAACGUUGAUAUGGGAAGGCACAGUGGAUAGGGCAUCUCCUGGAUUGAAGCACUCCAG
rnacentral:lncRNA from 1 species